rnacentral:SRP_RNA from 2 species
CGCGGGUCCCACGCGGCGCCCAUCUCGUGAACUCCCCCAGGGCAGGAAUGCAGCAAGGGUCAGCGAGCUCUGGCGGGUGCGUGGGGCCCCCUUUU